UACGGAAGGCAGCAGUGGGGAAUAUUGCACAAUGGGCGCAAGCCUGAUGCAGCCAUGCCGCGUGUAUGAAGAAGGCCUUCGGGUUGUAAAGUACUUUCAGUCGUGAGGAAGGUGUUAAGGUUAAUAACCUUAGCAAUUGACGUUAGCGACAGAAGAAGCACCGGCUAACUCCGUGCCAGCAGCCGCGGUAAUACGGAGGGUGCGAGCGUUAAUCGGAAUUACUGGGCGUAAAGGGCACGCAGGCGGUUAAUUAAGUUGGAUGUGAAAUCCCCGGGCUUAACCUGGGAAUGGCAUUCAAGACUGGUUAGCUAGAGUCUUGUAGAGGGGGUAGAAUUCCAUGUGUAGCGGUGAAAUGCGUAGAGAUGUGGAGGAAUACCGGUGCGAAGGCGGCCCCUGGACAAAGACUGACGCUCAUGUGCGAAAGCGUGGGGAGCAAAACG
rnacentral:rRNA from 1 species